AAACCAGCACCUCAAGUGGUCAGGAUGAUUAUUGGGCCUAAAGCAUCCGUAGCCGGCUUUGUAAGUUUUCGGUUAAAUCCAUACGCUCAACGUAUGGGCUGCCGGGAAUACUGUAAGGCUAGGGAGUGCGAGAGGUAGACGGUACUCGGGAGGAAGGGGUAAAAUCCUUUGAUCUCUCGAUGACCACCUGUGGCGAAGGCGGUCUACCAGAACACGUCCGACGGUGAGGGAUGAAAGCUGGGGGAGCAAACCGAAUUAGAAACCCGGGUAGUCC
rnacentral:rRNA from 1 species